rnacentral:rRNA from 2 species
GGCCACGGGGCGGGGUGCCUAUACUGCAAGUCGAACGAACUCUGGUAUUGAUUGGUGCUUGCAUCAUGAUUUACAUUUGAGUGAGUGGCGAACUGGUGAGUAACACGUGGGAAACCUGCCCAGAAGCGGGGGAUAACACCUGGAAACAGAUGCUAAUACCGCAUAACAACUUGGACCGCAUGGUCCGAGUUUGAAAGAUGGCUUCGGCUAUCACUUUUGGAUGGUCCCGCGGCGUAUUAGCUAGAUGGUGAGGUAACGGCUCACCAUGGCAAUGAUACGUAGCCGACCUGAGAGGGUAAUCGGCCACAUUGGGACUGAGACACGGCCCAAACUCCUACGGGAGGCAGCAGUAGGGAAUCUUCCACAAUGGACGAAAGUCUGAUGGAGCAACGCCGCGUGAGUGAAGAAGGGUUUCGGCUCGUAAAACUCUGUUGUUAAAGAAGAACAUAUCUGAGAGUAACUGUUCAGGUAUUGACGGUAUUUAACCAGAAAGCCACGGCUAACUACGUGCCAGCAGCCGCGGUAAUACGUAGGUGGCAAGCGUUGUCCGGAUUUAUUGGGCGUAAAGCGAGCGCAGGCGGUUUUUUAAGUCUGAUGUGAAAGCCUUCGGCUCAACCGAAGAAGUGCAUCGGAAACUGGGAAACUUGAGUGCAGAAGAGGACAGUGGAACUCCAUGUGUAGCGGUGAAAUGCGUAGAUAUAUGGAAGAACACCAGUGGCGAAGGCGGCUGUCUGGUCUGUAACUGACGCUGAGGCUCGAAAGUAUGGGUAGCAAACAGGAUUAGAUACCCUGGUAGUCCAUACCGUAAACGAUGAAUGCUAAGUGUUGGAGGGUUUCCGCCCUUCAGUGCUGCAGCUAACGCAUUAAGCAUUCCGCCUGGGGAGUACGGCCGCAAGGCUGAAACUCAAAGGAAUUGACGGGGGCCCGCACAAGCGGUGGAGCAUGUGGUUUAAUUCGAAGCUACGCGAAGAACCUUACCAGGUCUUGACAUACUAUGCAAAUCUAAGAGAUUAGACGUUCCCUUCGGGGACAUGGAUACAGGUGGUGCAUGGUUGUCGUCAGCUCGUGUCGUGAGAUGUUGGGUUAAGUCCCGCAACGAGCGCAACCCUUAUUAUCAGUUG